rnacentral:rRNA from 1 species
CAGUAACGGCGAGUGAAGCGGCAACAGCUCAAAUUUGAAAUCUGGCUCCUUCGGGGUCCGAAUUGUAAUUUGUAGAGAGUGCUUCGGGCGAGACCUCGGUCUAAGUCCAUUGGAACAUGGUGUCAUAGAGGGUGAGAAUCCCGUAUGCGACCGUGGCUCGAGCCCAUGUGAAGCCUCUUCGACGAGUCGAGUUGUUUGGGAAUGCAGCUCAAAACGGGUGGUAAAUUUCAUCUAAAGCUAAAUACUGGCUGGAGACCGAUAGCGCACAAGUAGAGUGAUCGAAAGAUGAAAAGCACUUUGGAAAGAGAGUCAAACAGUACGUGAAAUUGUUGAAAGGGAAGCGCUUGCAACCAGACCUGCCCGUAGGCGAUCAGCCGCUGUUCUCAGCGGUGUACUCGCUCUGCGAUCAGGCCAGCAUCGGUUUCGGCGGUCGGAUAAAGGCCUUGGGAAUGUAGCUUCCCUUCGGGGGAGUCUUAUAGCCCUCGGUGUAAUGCGGCCAGCCGGGACCGAGGACCGCGCUUCGGCUAGGAUGCUGGCGUAAUGGUUGUAAGCGACCCGUCUUGAAACACGGACCAAGGAGUCUAACAUCUAUGCGAGUGUUUGGGUGUCAAACCCAUACGCGGAAUGAAAGUGAACGGAGGUGAGAACCCUUAAGGGCGCAUCAUCGACCGAUCCAGAUGUCUUCGGAUGGAUUUGAGUAUGAGCAUAGCUGUUGGGACCCGAAAGAUGGUGAACUAUGCCUGAAUAGGGUGAAGCCAGAGGAAACUCUGGUGGAGGCUCGCAGCGGUUCUGACGUGCAAAUCGAUCGUCAAAUUUGGGUAUAGGGGCGAAAGACUAAUC